CAUGGAAUAAAUGUUGUGGAUCUUAAUGUUUUUCCUCAUAAUCCUGGAUUAUCGGACCACCAUUUUAUUGCGUUUGCAAUUGCAACAAAUAAUCUGCUCAGACCCCAACCAAGGAGCAUUAAAAGUCGUGCUAUAAAUUCUCAGACAACCCAAAGAUUCCUUGAUGCCCUUCCAGACUCCUUCUGCCUACCCAAGGACGUCAGAGGACAAAAAUCAGUUAACCACCUAACCGAGGAACUCAAUUUAACCUUGCGCAAUACCCUAGAUACAGUUACACCCCUAAAAACUAAAAACAUCUGUCAUAAGAAACUAGCUCCCUGGUAUACAGAAAAUACACGAGCUCUGAAGCAAGCUUCCAGAAAAUUGGAACGGAAAUGGCGCCACACCAAACUGGAAGUCUUCCGACUAGCUUGGAAAGACAGUACCGUGCAGUAUCGAAGAGCCCUCACUGCUGCUCGAUCAUCCUAUUUUUCCAACUUAAUUGAGGAAAAUAAGAACAAUCCAAAAUUUCUUUUUGAUACUGUCGCAAAGCUAACUAAAAAGCAGCAUUCCCCAAGAGAGGAUGGCUCUCACUUCAGCAGUAAUGAAUUCAUGAACUUCUUUGAGGAAAAGAUCAUGAUCAUUAGAAAGCAAAUUACAGACUCCUCUUUAAAUCUGCGUAUUCCUCCAAAGCUCCAUUGUCCUGAGUCUGCACAACUCUGCCAGGACCUAGGAUCAAGGGAGACACUAAAGUGUUUUAGUACUAUAUCUCUUGACACAAUGAUGAAAAUAAUCAUGGCCUCUAAACCUUCAAGCUGCAUACUGGACCCUAUUCCAACUAAACUACUGAAAGAGCUGCUUUCUGUGCUUGGCCCUCCUAUGUUGAACAUAAUAAACGGCUCUCUAUCCACCGGAUGUGUACCAAACUCACUAAAAGUGGCAGUAAUAGAGCCUCUCUUGAAAAGGCCAAAUCUUGACCCAGAAAUUAUAAAAAAACUAUCGGCCUGUAUCGAAUCUUCCAUUCCUCUCAAACAUUUUAGAAAAAGCUGUUGCGCAGCAACUCACUGCCUUCCUGAAGACAAACAAUGUAUACGAAACGCUUCAGUCUGGUUUUAG
rnacentral:lncRNA from 8 species